AUUGAACGCUGGCGGCAAGCCUAACACAUGCAAGUCGAACGAGUGGCGGACGGGUGAAUAAUGUCUGGGAAACUGCCUGAUCGAGGGGGAUAACUACUGGAAACGGUAGCUAAUACCGCAUACCAGCAGAUGUGCCCAGAUGGGAUUAGCUUGUUGGUGGGGUAACGGCUCACCACGGCGACGAUCCCGACCUGGUCUGAGAGGAUGACCAGCCACACUGGAACUGAGACCCGGACCAGACUCCUACGGGAGGGAGCAGUGGGGAAUAUUGGACAAUGGGCGCAAGUCUGAUGGAGCCAUGCCGCGUGUAUGAAGAAGGCCUUCGGGUUGUAAAGUACUUUCAGCGGGGAGGCGUUACCCGCAGAAGAAGAAGCGGCUAACUCCGUGCCAGCAGCCGCGGUAAUAC
rnacentral:rRNA from 1 species